rnacentral:rRNA from 1 species
CUUGGUCAUUUAGAGGAAGUAAAAGUCGUAACAAGGUUUCCGUAGGUGAACCUGCGGAAGGAUCAUUAUUGAAUACACAAUGACUGUUGCUGGCUAGGUCAUUCUAGCAUGUGCACGUCUACACUCUCCACACCUGUGCACCAAUUGUAGAUAACCCUCGAAAGAGGAUUCUAUGUCUUUAAUAAUCUCAUCUAUUGUAUGUCCUUAGAAUGUAACAAAAAAAAUUAUACAACUUUCAGCAACGGAUCUCUUGGUUCUCGCAUCGAUGAAGAACGCAGCGAAUUGCGAUAAGUAAUGUGAAUUGCAGAUUUUCAGUGAAUCAUCGAAUCUUUGAACGCACCUUGCGCUCCUUGGUAUUCCGAGGAGCAUGCCUGUUUGAGUGUCAUUUAAUUAUCAACCAAAAGUCUUCAUUGGCUUUUGGCUUGGACUUGGGAUUUGCUGGCCUAGUCAGCUGUCCUUAAAAGCAUUAGCAAGUGAAGUAGACGUGCACGGCCUCUGACGUGAUAAUGAUCGACGUGGGCUGGAAGCGUCAUAAUGAAGCUUGCUUAAAUUAAUCUCUAUUACCAUUUUGACCUCAAAUCAGGUAGGACUACCCGCUGAACUUAAGCAUAUCAAUAAGCGGAGGAAAAGAAACUAACAAGGAUUCCCCUAGUAACUGCGAGUGAAGAGGGAAAAGCUCAAAUUUUGAAUCUGGCAGUCGUUUUGGCUGUCCGAGUUGUAAUCUAGAGAAGUGUCUUCCGUGCUGGCCCGUGUACAAGUCUCCUGGAAAGGGAGCGUCAUAGAGGGUGAGAAUCCCGUCUUUGACACGGACUACCAGUGCUAUGUGAUGCACUCUCGACGAGUCGAGUUGUUUGGGAAUGCAGCUCAAAAUGGGUGGUAAAUUCCAUCUAAAGCUAAAUACAGGCGAGAGACCGAUAGCGAACAAGUACCGUGAGGGAAAGACGAAAAGAACUUUGAAAAGAGAGUUAAACAGUACGUGAAAUUGCUGAAAGGGAAACGCUUGAUGUCAGUCGCGUUGACUAGGGAUCAACCUUGCUUAAUCGCUCGGUGUACUUCCUAGUUGAUGGGUCAGCAUCAGUUUUGAUCGUCGUACAAAGGCAAAGGGAAAGUGGCACUCUUUAGGGAGUGUGUUAUAGACCCUCGUCGGAUGCGUCGGUUGGGACUGAGGAACUCUGCACGGACUAGCUUUUGUGCAUGGGAUGCUGGCAUAAUGGCCUUAAGCGACCCGUCUUGAAACACGGACC